CCCUUAGAUGUUCUGGGCCGCACGCGCGCUACACUGACACACCCAGCGAGUCUCCUGCCCUGACAGGGUUGGGUAAUCAUUGGAGUGUGUGUCGUGAUGGGGAUAGAGUAUUGCAAUUAUUGCUCUCGAACGAGGAAUUCCUAGUAAGCACAAGUCAGCAGCUUGUGCUGAUUACGUCCCUGCCCUUUGUACACACCGCCCGUCGCUCCUACCGAGGGGGUGAUCCGGUGAAUGAUUCGGACUUUGGCGUUUCUAGCUGCUAGCAGCGCUGAAGAAAGUUUUGUGAACCUUAUCACUUGGAGGAAGGAGAAGUCGUAACA
rnacentral:rRNA from 1 species